rnacentral:rRNA from 1 species
AUACCGCGUGAGGGAGGAAGGCUCUUGGGUUGUAAACCUCUUUUCUCAGGGAAGAACARAAUGACGGUACCUGAGGAAUAAGCAUCGGCUAACUCCGUGCCAGCAGCCGCGGUAAUACGGAGGAUGCAAGCGUUAUCCGGAAUGAUUGGGCGUAAAGGGUCCGCAGGUGGCAUUGUAAGUCUGCUGUUAAAGAGUUUGGCUCAACCAAAUAAAAGCAGUGGAAACUACAAAGCUAGAGUGUGGUCGGGGCAGAGGGAAUUCCUGGUGUAGCGGUGAAAUGCGUAGAUAUCAGGAAGAACACCRGUGGCGAAGGCGCUCUGCUAGGCCAAGACUGACACUGAGGGACGAAAGCUAGGGGAGC